rnacentral:misc_RNA from 1 species
UGCCUCUGCGAAGGCAUUCAAUGAUCGCUUCCGCAAGAUGCAUGGCGGCAAGGUGCCGUCAGACUAUGGCGCUCUGGGUUAUGCCGGCGUCAAGACGCUUCUGAUGGGAGCCAAGGCUGCCGGAANAAGGUUAUCGCCGCGGUUGAGGCCUUGAAGUAUGAUUACUACAAGGGCCCUGAAUACUAUCGCAAGUGCGACCACCAGGCCGUGCAGUCGGUACUCAUCAUCGAGUCGAAG